rnacentral:snRNA from 1 species
GCAUUUUAAGCAGCACAUAUACUAAAAUUGGAAUGAUACAGAGAAGAUUAGCAUGGCCCUUGCCCAAGGAUGAAA